UCCAAAAUUGGAAAAUCCCCCCUUUUUUAAGCAUAAAAAUUCAUAACACAGAAAUGUAAAAUCUGAAAUUUAUAAAAAUUGAAAUGGAGCUUACAUCAAUAGAUAUAAACAAUUCACCAAAGUUUCAUGGACAUUGGUGAAAGCCUUUUUGAGAUAUUGUCCGAAGUGUUGAAAAUCCCCCUUUUUUUUAUGAAUAAAGCCCCAUAAAUCCAAAACUUAAAAUCUGAAAUUUAUAAAAAUUGAAAGGGAGCUUUACAUCAAUAGAUAUAAACAAUUCACCAAAGUUUCAUGGACAUUGGUGAAAGCCUUUUUGAGUUAUUGUCCGAAGUGUUGAAAAUCCCCCUUUUUUUUUAUGAAUAAAGCCCCAUAAAUCCAAAACUUAAAAUCUGAAAUUUAUAAAAAUUGAAAGGGAGCUUACAUCAAUAGAUAUAAACAAUUCACCAAAGUUUCAUGGACAUUGGUGAAAGCCUUUUUGAGUUAUUGUCCGAAGUGUUGAAAAUCCCCCCUUUUUUAUGAAUAAAGCCCCAUAAAUCAAAAACUUUUUUUUAAUGUCCUCACUAUGUCAGUAUAUUUUGCUAAUCUUAAUUGCACUUCGAUCUGUCAUGUCUGUAUAAACUUAAAUUUGACAACAUUUCAUAUAAACCAUACGUUUUGAUUGGUCCAUAAAGUAUUUGCAAUAAAGAUGGAGGGGACCUUCAGUUAUCCAAAACUAAUUAAGGCAUUGGAAUAAACAAGC
rnacentral:lncRNA from 1 species